rnacentral:rRNA from 1 species
AGCGAACGCGGUGAACUGAAACAUCUAAGUAACCGCAGGAAAAGAAAUCAACCGAGAUUCCCAAAGUAGUGGCGAGCGAAAUGGGAUGAGCCUUGCACUCUUUAUUUGUAUUGUUAGCCGAACGCUCUGGAAAGUGCGGCCAUAGCAGGUGAUAGCCCUGUAGGCGAAAACAGUAUGAAAGAACUAGGUGUGCGACAAGUAGGGCGGGACACGUGAAAUCCUGUCUGAAGAUGGGGGGACCAUCCUCCAAGGCUAAAUACUCGUGAUCGACCGAUAGUGAACCAGUACCGUGAGGGAAAGGCGAAAAGAACCCCGGGAGGGGAGUGAAAUAGAUCCUGAAACCGCAUGCAUACAAACAGUCGGAGCCUCGUAAGGGGUGACGGCGUACCUUUUGUAUAAUGGGUCAGCGACUUACGUUCAGUAGCAAGCUUAACCGUAUAGGGCAGGCGUAGCGAAAGCGAGUCCGAAUAGGGCGUUCAGUUGCUGGGCGUAGACCCGAAACCAGGUGAUCUAUCCAUGGCCAGGAUGAAGGUGCGGUAACACGUACUGGAGGUCCGAACCCACUAACGUUGAAAAGUUAGGGGAUGAGCUGUGGAUAGGGGUGAAAGGCUAAACAAACCUGGAAAUAGCUGGUUCUCUCCGAAAACUAUUUAGGUAGUGCCUCGUGUCUCACCUUCGGGGGUAGAGCACUGUCAUGGUUGGGGGGUCUAUUGCAGAUUACCCCGCCAUAGCAAACUCCGAAUACCGAAGAGUGCAAUCACGGGAGACAGACAUCGGGUGCUAACGUCCGGUGUCAAGAGGGAAACAACCCAGACCGCCAGCUAAGGUCCCCAAAUAUAGCUAAGUGGGAAACGAAGUGGGAAGGCUAAAACAGUCAGGAGGUUGGCUUAGAAGCAGCCACCCUUUAAAGAAAGCGUAAUAGCUCACUGAUCGAGUCGUCCUGCGCGGAAGAUGUAACGGGGCUAAGCUAUAUACCGAAGCUGCGGAUGCGUGCUUAGCACGCAUGGUAGGAGAGCGUUCCGUAAGCCUGCGAAGGUGCCUUGUAAAGGGUGCUGGAGGUAUCGGAAGUGCGAAUGCUGACAUGAGUAGCGAUAAAGGGGGUGAAAGGCCCCCUCGCCGUAAGCCCAAGGUUUCCUACGCAACGUUCAUCGGCGUAGGGUGAGUCGGCCCCUAAGGCGAGGCAGAAAUGCGUAGCUGAUGGGAAGCAGGUCAAUAUUCCUGCACCAUUGUUAGAUGCGAUGGGGGGACGGAUCGCGGAAGGUUGUCCGGGUGUUGGAAGUCCCGGUCGCUGCAUUGGAGAAGGCGCUUAGGCAAAUCCGGGCGCGGAAUUCAAGGGUGUGGCGCGAGCUCCUUAGGGAGCGAAGCAAUUGGAAGUGGUUCCAAGAAAAGCCUCUAAGCUUCA